GGCGGCGCCUCUGGGACCGCGCCCGCCCCGCCCCCGCCCCGGGCACCGACCCGGCCCGGCCCGGGGGACAGACCCUGCUCCCCGCACCGCACCCCGCACCGCCCGGAACGGUGCUCCCGCCGCUCCCGCUCGGCCCUCGCACCGGCCUCGAGGCGGCCCCGCGCCCGCCGUGCCCGCCCAGCGGCGGCGGUGAGGAUGGUGAGGGGACCGGUCCAUCUCUGAGGGAGCUGGGGCUGUGCAGCCUCGAGGGGAGACACUGAGGGGGGACCCCAUCCAUGUGUGUCAGGGCCUGCAGGGAGGGGGCAGAGCAGGGACCAGGCUCUGCUCGGGGGGGCCCAGCAAUGGGACACGAGGGUCGGGCAGGAACUGAUGCCCAGGAAGUUCCACCUGGACAUGAGGAAGAAUUUCUUCCCUGUGCAGUGACCGAGCACUGAACAGAGACCAGAGAGGGUGUGGAGUCUCCUCACUGGGGAUGUUCCAGAACCAUCUGGACACAGUCCUGUGCCGUGUGCUCUGGGAUGGCCCUGCUGGAGCAGGACGUGGGACCAGGUGACCCCUGUGGGCCCUUCCAGCCUGACCCAUCACGGGAGGGCCGGGGCUGUACCGGGGAGGCCCCAGGCCGGGCUCAGCCCGAGGGAGGGAAGGAGGUGUCGGGUGAGUGGCACCCAUUGCCAAAUGUGCCCUGGAGUGUGAUGGGAUUGGUCAGGGAAUCCGGAGAGGCAUCAGAGGACAUGUGUGAUUUACACACUGCCAAUCUCAGAAAUCCAAAUUCUCCAAGUUUUGGGUUAAUUUCCUGAAGCCAAGGCAGCACCCAAAAGGUGUGUGUGUCAUGUUCCUGUGGGCCCUGUGCACACGUGCUCACACACACCUGUGCAGAGACACUGGACUUCACUUUUUAGAGCAGGAACAUCUGGAUCAGGACAAGACCCCACAUGUAAUUCUUCCUUGUGGAAGACCUAUCUGCUCAAGACCUCUUCAACAAUCGAAGCCGAGUUCUAAUAGCACAGUAAAAAACCCUUCAGAAGUGAAAGGGAACGAUGGUUUUUGAUACUUCAGAAAGACACGAGCACUUGGAGGAUGAAGUAAAGUGUAAUCCUUCCAUCCUCAGCUUUCAAACCCUUUCUGGUUCAGUGACACACUCGAGUUCAGCCUUACAAUGCUAGAAAGGAAAGUCCACGUGUUUGAAGCAUUACCUGAAGUGCAGAAGCAGAGAAAACUUGUCACCAAUUACUGAGACUUCGUAUAACUCAAGGAUCUCCUGCGUCUUCAAGUGGCUGAUGUCCUGGCAGUGUGUACACGCUGUUUGUCACAAUUCACUUAAAUAGCUUUUAUGAAGAAUUUAGUGACAUGUUGUUGUGUCUGGGAGGCUGCUUUGACACUUCCUCGUUCAGUGGGAUGUAGAAAUCCACUGCUUGUCACUGUCUGCAAGUGACACCGUGGUUUCACUGGAUGCUUCCAUGGCAUCUUCUCAUCGGUGGAUAUAAGAGUCAGUAAGUCACUGAAGGAGUCUUUGUUCUAUGUGGAAAUGUAAAUAAAAAAGUGGAAAUACACAAAACUAACCUGCAAAACCAAAGCUGGUGCUCUGACAUUAAAAGGGCUCCUGGAACUGAGGUGCUUCCAAAGUUCCUCUGCAACACGUGUGAAGUACGUCUGGAGGAAGGAGAGCAAAGAAGGGUGGUUUGUUUUUCUGUGGCAACAUCAUUUUGCCUUCCAAGAGUGGAUACUUUGAUGGCUUCAAUGUUGGAAAACAUUUCUGAAACCUCGUUAAGUCAGGACUGUGUUCAGAAACUCUCAACUUCGUGGCUGCUUGAGCCAGUCUGCGCCAGCCUAAAGCACACAACCCCAAAUUCAAGCACCUUCCUAUUUCAACACUCUUUUAUUUAUGCUUUACCAGUGACCACUCUGGAGCCAUCACUUAAAGCAAAGAAAAUACAACAACUCCAGAAAAACAAUCCGCAGACCUUCUAAUCUGAGGGUUGAAUUUGAGAAAACAGGAUCCACCCAUCAGAAGUGCUGCCAUGUGCCUUCUUUGCAAGGCAGGCAGGAUGGAUCCUGGGCUAGAAGUGGGAGCUCUCCAGACACGCUGCAGUCACGACAUGAGCUUCACAUGUACUGAGUAAAUCUGGUUGAUUCCUUCCUGGGGAUCCCUCAACACAGAGGUAGUGGGACAAAAGAGCCUAAAGCAUUCCCAGGGACUGCAGGAGCUCAGUCAACAUCUUUCCUGCUCUGGAGCAAAAGCACAAGCAUCCUUUAGUGCUCAGAUCUUCCCCUUCCUGAGAGCACAGCAUUUGAGGAGCUGUGUUAGAGAACCACCCUCGGCUUCCCAGGAAACAGGUUCUCAGCUGUGGUUUUGUCUGGGUUCACCUGCUGGGGCGUGACAUGUUUGCAAAAAGUCAGAACAGGAAAGAAGUUCGUGAGCCAAACACAAGGUGGUGAAGGUGGUGUUUAUUUAUUAUGAUGCACCUUUGGUACCACUUUGUUGAACAGUCAGUGCAACUACCCUUGCAGGGAUAACACUCUAUUUUAUGCUCUUUGCCCUCUGCUGCUUUGUUGAAAUAGCUCUCUCGGGCUGAGUUUUCAGAUCUAAUUUUGGAUUAAAAGCUGCAAUUUGGUCUUCUCUCUCCAGUUUCAAUGUAUUUCCUCCUGAACAGUAACAAUCACAGCCUGUAAGAAAGUAACAAAUUGCCACAAGGUCUGGAGAAAUAAGAUAAAAUGUGGCAGGAACAGAGGAAGAGAUGAUGCUCAUAAAGUUUCUGUGCUUUGCCAGUAGUUACCUUGUUUACUCAUGUCUUCUGCAGCAUGAAGUGGAGGUAAUGUCAUAAACAAUGAAAAGUUUGAUAAGGAUUUCUCUCCUCUGCACAUCCCCUGUUCCUGCUGCUCCCAAUAUUACCAUUUGCCUGCAGCUCUGGAGUGCCAGCCCCUGAAAUCUGUUGCUGAAGUCACCCAUGUAUUGAACUGAGCAGGCAAUCUGUCAUUUCAUUCCUUUGUGCCAAGAUUUCAAUCCAUGCUUAUGCUUGGAAUCCUGAUAGACCCUUAAGUAAAUAUUAUUGAUUAGUCAUCGUUAUUUUUUACUGUUGAUAUGCAGAAGGUUGUGGGAACCUUGCGGUUGGAUUUCUACACAGUCCACUGGAAAAUAUGUUUGAUUAUUGUGUUUGUGUUGGCAGCUGGGUACAUCCUUAUUGCAGGCUGAGAUUAGAGCCUCAUAAAGAUUUCACAGACAACCCAAACCAAAACAGAAGCCAGCUCCUUCCAACCUCAGAUCAGACAAACCCUCACCCAAACAGGCUUUGGUCCUGGUUUCACAUUCUCUUGGGCACAUGAACCUUGGGUGUCUGAAGUGGUUUUGUCCCAGCUUCAGGAUCCCAAUGGUCUGGGUCAGAGGGAUUGAAACUGCUUGGCCUUGUGAAUCACAGACCUAAAUCUGCUCAGGGGAAACUGAAAUGUGAGUUACCUUCUUCCCCCCUUCAUUAAACAUGCCCAACCAAAUAUAUCCAUGAUAUACACUGAUUUGAGCCAGGAAGCAAUUAAAGCUCCUGUUCUUGCCAAAUGAUUGAGUGCUUGCAGACACAGAUUCCUGAGAAAGUAUAACAGAGAAAGUGCAUUAGCAAAGUAUUUGUGCCUUCAUAGGAAAUGAAUAUGGAUGUAAUUAAGAAAAGCUGAUUUAUGUAGAACUGUAAAACCGGGGACAUAAAAUGAAAAAUUCUCUGUAAAUGUCAAGUCAGUGUUUCGUGGUGGCCAAAACAAGGCAAGUGGAGAAUUGCAAUGGUAUUAAGAAAGGAACUGAGAAUUAAAAUGCCACUUUAUAAAUCCCUAGUACAUGAAUAUUUAAGACAUUGUAUGGAGUUCUAAGCACCUGAACUCUAAAGAUCAUAGAACUGCUGUUCUACUACAGUCUGCUAGUAACACUUGGAGAAUGGCAAGUGUAGUGUGGCUUCUCUGGGGACAUGAAAAAGGCAAGACUGAGUAUGAUGAGAGGAUAAGCAGGGUCUGUAAAGUAAUAGGAAAGGGAAAAUGGGAACAAGAAUAGGGAACAUAGAAUCACGAAAUGGUUUGGGUUGGAAGCAACCUAAAGUUCAUUUAAUCCCACGCCCUGCCAUGGGCAGGGACACCUUCCACUAGCCCAGGUUGCUCCAAGCCCUGUCCAACCUGGCCUUGGACACUUCCAGGGAUCCAGGGGCAGCCACAGCUUCUCUGGGCAACCUGUGCCAGGGCCUCCCCACCCUCCGAGCCAAGAGUUCCUUCCCAAUAUCCCAUCUAACCUGCCCUCUGGCAGUGGGAAGCCAUUCCCCUUUUCCUAUCACUGUGUGCCCUUGUCCCCAGUCCCUCUCCAGCUCUCUCAGAGCCCCUUCAGGCCCUGGAAGGGGCUCUCAGGUCUCCCCAGAGCCUUCUCUUCUCCAGGUGAAUCCCCCCAGCUCUCCCAGCCUGGCUCCAGAGCAGAGGGGCUCCAGCCCUUGGAGCAUCUCCAUGGCCUCCUCUGGACUCGCUCCAGCAGCUCCACGUCCUUCUGCUGUUGUUCCCCAAUUUGCAUUCUAGCAAAUGAUCAGCAUUUUGUAAAUUUAAAUAAACAUCUAAACCCUCACUAUUUAGUCGUUAAAAACUUUGGACCUGUUUUCAACUUAAAAUAUUGGGGCUUGCCAUGAAACCUCCAAAUGAAGCAUAAAUAGAUGAAACCUCUUAUUGGAGAUUCAGUGCCCCUGUGGACUCAGAGACAUAACUCUGCACAUAUUAUUAGAUCUGAUUAGCCUGCACCAAAUUAAAUUAUGUAUAUUUGGAAAAAUUACAGGCAAAUGUCACAAAAUGUACAGUUCAGUCACUGUGAUCCAGUUACAUGAAGAUUCGAAAACUUACAGCUACAUUUUUUAUUUAUUAUUUUUAAGCGAAUGAAAUAUGAAACAUUUGCUCUGAAUAGUCAGAAAAGGAGAAACUGAAUCUGUACAACUCCACUAAAGAACAAAGGAAGAGCUCUAAAGCAGCCCACUAGGAAAUAAUCUUUGUUUUAAAGUUUUACUUAUUUUUAUCAAUGUGAUAAAAGACUAUCUGAAAAUAUGAAUUUAUCAUUUAUCUACAGACUUUCUAAAUUUAUUUUUCAAGUAGUAACAACUGUAUCUGAUGUGCUGAAGGAAUGCAGACAAACACAAGCCAAACAGGCAGCAUUUUCAAGACAUUAAUUUUCUGAUACAGGUACCCACAGAAAAAUCCUCCCCUGCCCCCAACAAAAGGACAUAAUUUUUCAUAUCUAUAAAGCCAUUAUCAGAAUAAUGUCACCCUCCUCCCCAAUGCACAUUUGAUUGCAAGGGCUUUGGAAUUUCUGAGUUCUGGCUCUAUCAAACCAUGAAAAAAACUAGUAUUGCUCCAUUUGUGUUUCCUUCCACAGGAUCUGGAGCAAAUACAGACUUUAGAUUGCAAUUUGUUAUUUGACAAAAGAAAAAAAAUCUCAAAUAUCUUCAGUGUGGUGAACUGGGUCUUCUGUUAUCCUGAACUUUGUGAGGUGCCAGGCUCCUGUUGUACAGACUCCAAAACUAUUUAGUUUCUAAAGGAGGUAAGAAAAGGGACUCAUCUGCUUCUGGACCAACACACAGAAUACAAAAUUAUUCCACAUACAAUUCUCUUUCUUAUCCAAAGAAAAUUCCUUCUUUCCAGUCUAGGAACAAAUCACUGUACUCUGUAUUAACUCUUAAACUACACCAGGUGUUAUCAGAUCUGUAGAAACAUGUAGCUGCUUUAAGACACGUGCUGAGGAAAGAAAGGACACUAAUUUAAAGGACAUUCAUUUAAAUUAAUAUCUACAAACCACAGAACAAAGAUAAGAAAUUCCAUUGGGUUGGGUUUUUGUCUGUCCUUGCUUGUCUUUAUUUCAGAAUCCUCAUUAGCUUCUGCUGAAUAAUGAUUCAUUUCCAAAUGCAAAGGGUCAUUGAGCUUUGUGUUCUUUAUUAAGACUUCGUUGUUUUUACAAAAAUAGAAAAUCAUUAGCCUUUAUUAGUUUUUAGUUUAAUGCAGAGUUAAUUUCUUUUGGAAGAAGCGUUCUGGGAGACAGUGGAUUUAGUUUACUGUUGGUGGUUUGUUUAAUUGGUAGCUUAUAGCAGGUCUUCUGGUCACCACACAGAUUAUCAAGCUUCUGCUGUUAUAUAGUAAAAACUACACAGAUGUCAGAAAAUGUUUGACUAAAAAAGUGAAUUUAGGACAAACCAUCACGUUGUGGCAAACAAGGUCAAGAGCCCCUUUAGGAAGGAGACUAUUUCAUUGCCUCCCAGUUUGGAUUCUCCAUAGACACGGUCCACAAAUGAAAUAGGAACCUGUUGAAACAAGCAGAACUAUUUUUAAGGUUCAAAACCUAAAUAAUCAGAGAUUCUCUACACAAAAGAAUGGCCUUUGAACUACAGCAUUUUCAGACAUGGGAACAAGGCAAGCACCAGACUGGCUUCCUUUGUGUCAGUUCUCCCCAGUAGCUGAGGAGCAUGAAAUUAUUUGGUUUAUCACCUUUAAAGAUGAUCCCAAGACAUUACUCUGUGGCUGGGUGGUAGGUGGUCAGAACAGCCUCAGUGUUUUAAGCCUGAGGGCUUAAAAUCAACCUCCAGCACUUUCCUUGUUAAUUCAGUACCUUUGAGUCAGUGCCCCAGGAAGCACAAAUCUCCCACCACCAGGGAACAGCUCAGCCUCACCCCUGGCUGGGAGAUGACUUCUGAAUAUGAAGAACUUUGUAAAAUUGUAUACAGCUAAAGGAGUGGCAACAGGAAGAGGGAGGGAUCUCAGAAUCUUAUCAGCCAGGGGAAUAAGGAACUGGAAAUUCAGAUCCAGUAUUCACCUGGCAAAGUUGGAAAAGUAGAGUUCUAGACAUGUAAUUUUUUUAUAUUAGUUUGAAAAUCUUGGCUGCUUCUUGGGAGCACAAGAAAUUCAGUAAUCUGUGUGUCCCUUUACACAAAAGCACAAGAUCCCUAUCAAACUUGUCCUGUACCUCUCCAAUGGUGUAUCCCAACUGCCUGGCCCGAACAAUCAUCUCCAUCUGGAAGACGUAGCCUUUAGAAACACAUUUCUCCAUGAGUUUCUGUAAGACUUCUUUUCUGUACAACCUGUAAACAGUUACAAAGAAAAUGAAACCUGAAGCACAAUUUUCUGAAAUUUGGAAAUCAAGGCAAGUGUGUGGGAAUCUCAACUGCAAUCCCUCACUCAUCUCAUUACUAUUUAUAAAAUCUUUAACAAAGCCAUAGGAGCAGCAGUUCUUGCAAUCUAGUCCACUAUUUCUUCCACCUUUCCCAAACAGAUUUCACAGCCCUCAGUAAAGAAGGGCUGUUCUCAUUCCAGUUCCUUGUUCAGCAGUUUCUUAAUUUCCAAUGAACUUUAUUAAUUGCAAACCAGAGCCAUACCUGAAACUCCCUGUGAGGUCUGAUGCUCCUGGUCUCAGCAAAACCUGAGUCAGAAAAUUGGCACCACGGCUGGGAAAGAAAAUGUGAAUGUCACAGUUGCCCAGCACACAAUUCCCAAAGAUCAAGCAGAAUUUCUAAAAAAAUAAGUACGUAUCAUCCCCCCUCCCAAAACCCAACAAAACUUUUAUUGCUUCCUAUGAAAAAAAUUUAGAUUUCUAGUGUGUUUUCAUUGCUAGAUUUGAUUAAUAAAUUAUAGAAUCUUGAAAUCAAACACCCAAGGUUUUGUUUUUCAAAAGCAGAUAAUUAGUAGAUUAUUGAACUUCUCUAUGAAGAAAAAACAAGGAUUUUUAGAAAUUAGGUUUAUAACCUGGUUCUUUACGGAAGAACUGUCUACACAUACAAUUAAAAGAAAUGAAUGUGACAACCAUCAAAGCAACACUUUUCUUCUGACUGACACACACUGUAAGUAGGGAAUAAAAAUGCUUCCUGGACAAAUGUGAGACUUGGAUACGGAAAACCACCAGAGUGUCACCAGAGGAGUUUAGCAAGGGAUUCACUGCUUAGGGGAAGGACCAUUACAGCCACCCAAAUGUGUAUUUUAAACUUGACAAAAGUGUCACAGUCUCAGCUCACUCUCUGGAUGACAGAACUGGAGCUGUCCCAGCUGUCCACUGCCAAUCUGCCCACUGCUCCAACCCAUUUCUCAAGCCCAGCCACGUCAUUUCAUCCUUUCCUGGUGGAUUUGAACCACACAAUUUGCCAGUGGUGCACACUUGUAGUAUUUAAUGUGAUUUUGCAGUUCUCAGCAGGUACAGCAGUUCUGCUGACUAAAGACUCAGUUCAGCUCACAUGGAUGGAGUGUUUGUAAUUAUUGUUUAUAAAUAACAAUUUUAACUGUAAAUAUCUGAAAAAUACCAACCUGAUUAAUUUUCUUCUCAAAUCCCAGCCAUAUACCCCUCCAUUUCCUUUAUAUCUUGUUCCAGAUACGAUAUCAAAAUUGCCUUCUUUCUGCUUUCUAUAAACAAUUGG